UCAAAGGGCGCUGUGGUCUUUCGGGAUUACAGGGCACUGGCGCACGGGUGAGUAACGCGUAGGCAACCUGUCCUAUGGUGGGGGACAACAUCGGGAAACCGGUGCUAAUACCGCAUGUGGAUGCGAUCUCGCAUGGGAUUGUAUCCAAAGAUCUUCGGAUCGCUAUAGGGUGGGCCUGCGUCGUAUUAGUUAGUUGGUGGGGUAGAAGCCCACCAAGACGAUGAUACGUAGGGGGUCUGAGAGGAUGAUCCCCCACACGGGGACUGAGACACGGCCCCGACUCCUACGGGAGGCAGCAGUGAGGAAUCUUGCGCAAUGGAGGAAACUCUGACGCAGCCACGCCGCGUGCAGGAAGACGGUUCUCUGAAUUGUAAACUGCUUUUGACAGGGAAGAGUGUCUGGGUUUCGACCUAGAAGAGACGGUACCUGUUCGAAUAAGCACCGGCUAACUCCGUGCCAGCAGCCGCGGUAAUACGGAGGGUGCAAGCGUUGUCCGGAAUUAUUGGGUGUAAAGGGUGCGCAGGCGGGAAUGUAAGUCGGGGGUGAAAGGCUACCGCUCAACGGUAGGAUUGCCUUCGAUACUGCAUUUCUUGAGUAUGGAAGAGGUCGAUGGAAUUGGUGGUGUAGCGGUGAAAUGCAUAGAUAUCACCAAGAACACCGGUGGUGAAGACGCUCGGCUGGUCCAUUACUGACGCUCAGGCACGAGAGCGUGGGGAGCGAACAGGAU
rnacentral:rRNA from 1 species